ensembl:snRNA U6 U6 spliceosomal RNA
GUGCUCGCUUCAGCAGCACAUAUACUAAAACUGGCACAACACAGAGAAGAUUAGCAUGGCCCUGCGCAAGGAUGACGCAGAUUCGUGAGGUGUUCCAUAUUUUA